UCCAACAACCACAACAGUGACCCAAUCACACCAUAAACCAGCCCAUUCGAUCAGCCCACUAAUAAUACGACCCGGCCCAUACCCUCUACAAUUUUCUUUCUUCCCCACUGACGCUAUUAAUAACGCACAGAAGACAAAAGACGAGCAACAACGACCCAACAAACGAACCAAACGACGGGUCCAACCCGACAGCCCGAACGUAUCGACCCAGAAACCCGCACCAGCCAACCGACCCUAGCUCGAACUAGAAUUUCGACCCGCUCCGACUUCGACGAAAGUUCUAGAAGCCGCGAUGUGGUGUUUUUUCAAAUUGUUUAGCCGUUUUCUCUCUCUCUAAUCUGGUACGAACUUGUACUGGUUUCUACAGCUCAGCCUUAUCCUCUUUCAAAAUCCCUAAAUUACCCCUAUUCCACUUAGUCCUACAUCGGUGGAAAUUUGAAGUCGUCAAAAUUUCCUUCAUAUAAAGCUCGUCCUUAGCUGAAAAGACCAAGUCUUGAAGGCUAGAAAAAGCUCUCAAGCAAAGUUCUUUUUUAGUGAAAUUCAUCGAUUAAUCUAACUUCUUGAAUCGACAGCCACGCUUUCCGUUGGUGGUCGAACUUUCAUUGCAAGCUAGAGUCUCGUUUUGCUGCUCUGAAAUUGAAUGUGGUAUUGGAUUAAUCAAAACAUAAGAUCUUACCCAAACUCUUCAUGAUUUUUUCCGCCAACCCUGUAUAUACUGUCUUUUCUCCUCUUCAUCUGAAUGCUUUCUAUUGCUUUCUAUUUGAUAUUUAGGUGUGAAUUUAAUUCAAGUUUCUUUGUUAACUUAAUUGUUUAUUUUGUUACAACAUGUAUUAAUUUCAUUUAUCUUUCUUUUGCAUAUGAAUCUAUUGUGGAGUCCAAAUGGACUCUUUUCCUCCAUAUCUCGUAACGGACUAAUGCGGCCUAUCCCUUUGAGCCAGCUAUUUUUGGAGAAAGAAGGAUCUACCAUAAGAAGAAGGAGAAAUGGGUCGAAAUGCCAUUGUUGAAACGCCAUUGCUGAAGUCGUUAAGAGACUUGAAAAGUUUCGAUUUUCACUAUUAUUGUUUUUAUCUUUAUUUAUAUACCUAUCUAUUUAUUAAUUCAUU